GAGGAAAGCGGGCGGCGUGCCUAAUACAUGCAAGUCGAGCGAACAGACGAGGAGCUUGCUCCUCUGACGUUAGCGGCGGACGGGUGAGUAACACGUGGAUAACCUACCUAUAAGACUGGGAUAACUUCGGGAAACCGGAGCUAAUACCGGAUAAUAUAUUGAACCGCAUGGUUCAAUAGUGAAAGACGGUUUUGCUGUCACUUAUAGAUGGAUCCGCGCCGCAUUAGCUAGUUGGUAAGGUAACGGCUUACCAAGGCAACGAUGCGUAGCCGACCUGAGAGGGUGAUCGGCCACACUGGAACUGAGACACGGUCCAGACUCCUACGGGAGGCAGCAGUAGGGAAUCUUCCGCAAUGGGCGAAAGCCUGACGGAGCAACGCCGCGUGAGUGAUGAAGGUCUUCGGAUCGUAAAACUCUGUUAUUAGGGAAGAACAAAUGUGUAAGUAGCUAUGCACGUCUUGACGGUACCUAAUCAGAAAGCCACGGCUAACUACGUG
rnacentral:rRNA from 1 species